AGUCGAGCGGAACGAGUUAUCUGAACCUUCGGGGGACGAUAACGGCGUCGAGCGGCGGACGGGUGAGUAAUGCCUAGGAAAUUGCCCUGAUGUGGGGGAUAACCAUUGGAAACGAUGGCUAAUACCGCAUAAUGCCUACGGGCCAAAGAGGGGGACCUUCGGGCCUCUCGCGUCAGGAUAUGCCUAGGUGGGAUUAGCUAGUUGGUGAGGUAAUGGCUCACCAAGGCGACGAUCCCUAGCUGGUCUGAGAGGAUGAUCAGCCACACUGGAACUGAGACACGGUCCAGACUCCUACGGGAGGCAGCAGUGGGGAAUAUUGCACAAUGGGCGCAAGCCUGAUGCAGCCAUGCCGCGUGUGUGAAGAAGGCCUUCGGGUUGUAAAGCACUUUCAGUCGUGAGGAAGGUAGUGUAGUUAAUAGCUGCAUUAUUUGACGUUAGCGACAGAAGAAGCACCGGCUAACUCCGUGCCAGC
rnacentral:rRNA from 1 species